rnacentral:rRNA from 1 species
AUAUCAAUAAGCGGAGGAAAAGAAACCAACAGGGAUUGCCCCAGUAACGGCGAGUGAAGCGGCAGCAGCUCAAAUUUGAAAUCUGGCCCCCGCGGGGCCCGAGUUGUAAUUUGGAGAAGAUGCUUCGGGGGCGGCCCGGUCUAGGUUCCUUGGAACAGGACGUCAUAGAGGGUGAGAGCCCCGUACGUGCCCGGUGGCCCCCCCCGUGUGAAGCUCUUUCGACGAGUCGAGUUGUUUGGGAAUGCAGCUCAAAAUGGGUGGUAAAUUUCAUCUAAAGCUAAAUAUUGGCCAGAGACCGAUAGCGCACAAGUAGAGUGAUCGAAAGAUGAAAAGCACUUUGGAAAGAGAGUUAAACAGUAC